CACAAGGACAUCAAAAUAUGUAUCCAUAUAAGGAAUAUAGAGGUUUUGGUAUCCCUUACUGUACUAUAGCAAUGCAGCAACUAUUAUCUUUUCUUUCGUACUCUGAAAAUAUGUUGAUACCAUGAAAACUAAUGAUACCGCAGUAUAACGUAGAGAAUUGUUUCAACAACAUUUAACGUAUGACAACCUGUCAUUUAUCAAUUGCACGCUAGUAUCGAGAUGCAAACCUCUGGUAUUGAUACUCGUACUAACUAAAAAUAUAUUGGCGUCGCAAAAUAUCGAUAUUAUCUCAAUCACCAUUCCUACGUCAGGUAAAAAACAAAACAAAACACUUUUACAAAUAAUAAUUUUCUCAGGGGGGCGGCCCAUCGAGUGGUUAGCACGUUGACUUUAAAGUGCAGAGGUUCAAUUCCAGCUCCGGCCUUCCUGUGUAGAGUUUGCAUGUUCUUCUCAUGCUUGCGUGGGUUUUCUUCGGGUACUCCAGUUUCCUCCCACAUUCCAAAAACAUGCGCGGCAGGCUGAUUGAACACUCUAAAUAGUCCCGAGGUGUGAGUGUGAGCGCGAAUGGUUGUUCAUUUCUAUGUGCCCUGCAAUUGGCUGGAAACCGGUUCAGGGUGUCCCUCGCCUACUGCCCAAAGACUGCUGGGAUAGGUGACCCCGUGACCUGAGUGAGGAUAAAGCAGUUCGGAAAAUGAAUGAAUUAAAUAAUUUUCUUAAAGCCAGUUUCACUUCGACAUCAUUAAAUUUGGUUUGCAUGUGA